CACUAUUAGAAUGUAGUGCACAAGCCUAUUGUGAAGAUUUCAUGGGUUAAUACAUGUUAAGAACAUAGGAAAGGAUACACAAAUUGUAUAAAUGAAAAUAGAAGGAAUUGUCUUCAAUCUGGACAAGUUCUAUAGGACACACCAUGAUGAAUCUUACAGAGAAGAACUUGGGUUAGAAGCUAAGAUAGAUACUUGGGUUAGGCUUGUUUUUUGAAGGAAGAUGAAGACUAGCAUUUAUGGAGUACCUAUUAUGUGCCAGAGUUUCUACAUGUGUCAUAUCAUUAAAAGCUUACAAUUAUCCCUCUG